GAGGGGAACGGGAUGGGAACCAGGGACCGGGACGAGGACCUGGCCCGGGGUCCCCUCACGGAUCGGAUCCGGGGGCACCGCCCGCGCUGGAACCCGGCAACAUCCUUGUUUUCUUCAUUUUUAAUUUUUCCCUUCUUUUUUCGCCCCAUCCCCUUUCCUGGGGCUCGGGGGCGCAGCUGCGGAGCCCGAGAGGCGCUGGCGGGCAGGACAGGGAUCCCACCCCUGAAAAAAAAAGCAUGGAAGUGCCUUUUUCUCAUGUUCCCUCCCUCAAAGAAGUUUCCCGAGGCUGGGUCCGGGGACUGCAGCAGGGGAUGGAGCAGCUCCCGCUGUACAUCGUGUUUUCCCAACCCAUCCGCCCGUGCCCGGGGACUGUUGGUAACAAGGUCCCGGCCGUGCGUGAAUCCCAGAAACUGCUUUGCAUAACAGUUUUAUUUUCACGGAGUAAUCUUCCCUGUUAGCUGUGUUUUCAAAAUGUUUGGCAAUCGGUCCUUAAUACCUACGCCGUUUUGCAAACUGGCUUUUUCAAGGCGUUGCUGGCCCAGCUGCUGGGGGGGAGGGGGGGGGAUGUGCCCUGUGCUCUGUGAUUCAGGGCAAAGUGGACAAAAAAUUGGGGAAAAACCAGCUUACUUCAGGAUCUUUAUCACCAAGACAGGGUUCCAGCGUUUUUGGAAAACUUCUCCUUCCACUUUAAUUAAAAUAAUUGCAAGAUCCAGAUCAUUUUAGUAUUGGAUUUUCCUAAAUACAUUUGUAUUUAAAUUUA